UUAACAUGUUAUAACUGGUAUAUGAAGACAGUGUAGUAGUGUUAACAUGUUAUAACUGAUGUAUAUUUGUAUAUAAUCGAACACCUUUGGGAUGAAUUGGAAAGCCUACUGCAGGGCCUAAUCACCCCCAACAUCAGUACCCGUUUGGAAUGAGAUGUUGGAUGAGCAGUUGUCCACAUACCCUUUUGGUUAUGUAGUGUGUGUGUAACAUGUAGAUAUGUCAAGGUAGCCUGGGUGCCAGUCAGUUUGUGCUCUCUUGCCAACUCCUUAUGGAUGUUUCAUGGCAUGACACUGAGUGUGAAGUGUUAACUGUUAUUACUGUCUAAUACCAGGUAUAUGAAGUGUUAUAACUAUUACUGUGUAAUACCAGGUAUAUGAAGUGUUAUAACUAUUACUGUGUAAUACCAGGUAUAUGAAGUGUUAUAACUAUUACUGUGUAAUACCAGGUAUAUGAAGUGUUAUAACUAUUACUGUGUAAUACCAGGUAUAUGAAGUGUUAUAACUAUUACUGUGUAAUACCAGGUAUAUGAAGUGUUAUAACUAUUACUGUGUAAUACCAGGUAUAUGAAGUGUUAUAACUAUUACUGUGUAAUACCAGGUAUAUGAAGUGUUAUAACUAAUGUGUAAUACCAGGUAUGUGAAGUGUUAUAACUAUUACUGUGUAAUACCAGGUAUAUGAAGUGUUAUAACUAUUACUGUGUAAUACCAGGUAUAUGAAGUGUUAUAACUAUUACUGUGUAAUACCGGGUACGGUAACUGUUAUUACUGUGUAAUACCAGGUAUAUGAAGUGUUAUAACUAUUACUGUGUAAUACCAGGUAUAUGAAGUGUUAUAACUAUUACUGUGUAAUACCAGGUAUAUGAAGUGUUAUAACUAUUACUGUGUAAUACCAGGUAUAUGAAGUGUUAUAACUAUUACUGUGUAAUACCAGGUAUAUGAAGUGUUAUAACUAUUACUGUGUAAUACCAGGUAUAUGAAGUGUUAUAGCUAUUACUGUGUAAUACCAGGUAUAUGUAGUGUUAUAACUAUUACUGUGUAAUACCAGGUAUAUGAAGUGUUAUAACUAUUACUGUGUAAUACCAGGUAUAUGAAGUGUUAUAACUAUUACUGUGUAAUACCAGGUAUAUAAAGUGUUAUAACUAUUACUGUGUAAUACCAGGUAUAUGAAGUGUUAUAACUAUUACUGUGUAAUACCAGGUAUAUGAAGUGUUAUAACUAUUACUGUGUAAUACCAGGUAUAUGAAGUGUUAUAACUAUUACUGUGUAAUACCAGGUAUAUGAAGUGUUAUAACUAUUACUGUGUAAUACCAGGUAUAUGAAGUGUUAUAACUAUUACUGUGUAAUACCAGGUAUAUGAAGUGUGUCCCGGUGUAAUACCGGGUACGGUAACUGUUAUUACUGUG